rnacentral:rRNA from 1 species
GAUGAACGCUGGCGGCGUGCCUAAUACAUGCAAGUCGAGCGGACGGACGAGAAGCUUGCUUCUCUGAUGUUAGCGGCGGACGGGUGUGUAACACGUGGAUAACCUACCUAUAAGACUGGGAUAACUUCGGGAAACCGUAGCUAAUACCGGAUAAUAUUUUGAACCGCAUGGUUCAAAAGUGAAAGACGGUCUUGCUGUCACUUAUAGAUGGAUCCGCGCUGCAUUAGCUAGUUGGUAAGGUAACGGCUUACCAAGGCAACGAUGCAUAGCCGACCUGAGAGAGUGAUCGGCCACACUGGAACUGGGACACGGUCCAGACGCCUACGGGAGGCAGCAGUAGGGAAUCUGCCGCAGUGGGGGAAAGCCUGACGGAGCAACGCCACGUGAGUGAUGAAAGUCUUCGGAUCGUAAAGCUCUGUUAUUGGGGGAGAACAUAUGUGUAAGGAACUGUGCACAUCUUGACGGUACCUAAUCAGAAAGCCACGGCUAACUACGUG